GACGAACGCUGGCGGCGUGCCUAAUACAUGCAAGUCGAACGCAGUGGGGACGGGUGAGUAACACGUGGGUAACCUCCCAUCAGAGGGGAUAACACUUGGAAACAGGUGCUAAACCGAUAGUGAUGGAUGGACCCGUGGUGCAUUAGCUAGUUGGGGAGGUAACGGCUCACCAAGGCCACGAUGCAGAGCCGGCCGGAGAGUAUGAUCGGCCACAAGGGAACUGAGACACGGCCCAGACUCCUACGGGAGGCAGCAGUGGGGAAUCUUGGACAAUGGGCGAAAGUCUGACCGAGCCACGCCGCGUGAGUGAAGAAGGUUUUCGGGUCGUAAAGCUCUGUUGUUGGAGAAGCGGUACCUAACCAGAAAGCCACGGCUAACUACGUGCCAGCCGCCGCGGUAAUUC
rnacentral:rRNA from 1 species